UUAUGGUCAUAUCACGUUGAAACACCGGUUCCCCUAUGAUCAACGAAGGUAAGUUACGUCGAACCUGGUCAGUACCUAGAUGGGUGACCGCUUAGGAAUACCAGGUGUU